UACGUAGGGUGCAAGCGUUAAUCGGAAUUACUGGGCGUAAAGCGUGCGCAGGCGGUAAUGUAAGACAGUUGUGAAAUCCCCGGGCUCAACCUGGGAACUGCAUCUGUGACUGCAUCGCUGGAGUGCGGCAGAGGGGGAUGGAAUUCCGCGUGUAGCAGUGAAAUGCGUAGAUAUGCGGAGGAACACCGAUGGCGAAGGCAAUCCCCUGGGCCUGCACUGACGCUCAUGCACGAAAGCGUGGGGAGCAAACAGG
rnacentral:rRNA from 1 species